rnacentral:tRNA from 1 species
GGUCCACUAGCUCAACUGGAUAGAGCAGCUGCCUUCUAAGCAGCAGGUUUCAGGUUCGAGCCCUGAGUGGAUCA